CCUACGGGAGGCAGCAGUGGGGAAUAUUGCACAAUGGGGGAAACCCUGAUGCAGCGACGCCGCGUGAAGGAAGAAGUAUCUCGGUAUGUAAAGCUCUAUCAGCAGGGAAGAUAAUGACGGUACCUGACCAAGAAGCCCCGGCUAACUACGUGCCAGCAGCCGCGGUAAUACGUAGGGGGCAAGCGUUAUCCGGAUUUACUGGGUGUAAAGGGAGCGUAGACGGUAGUGCAAGUCUGGAGUGAAAUCCCGGGGCUUAACCCCGGGACUGCUUUGGAAACUGUGGGACUGGAGUGCAGGAGGGGUAAGCGGAAUUCCUAGUGUAGCGGUGAAAUGCGUAGAUAUUAGGAGGAACACCGGUGGCGAAGGCGGCUUACUGGACUGUAACUGACGUUGAGGCUCGAAAGCGUGGGGAGCAAACAGGAUUAGAUACCCCAGUAGUC
rnacentral:rRNA from 1 species